UAUGGCCACAUCACAUUGAAACAUCUGUUCCCAUAUGAUUAUCAUAGUUAAGCAAUAUUGAGCCUGGUCAGUACCAAGAUGUGUGACUGCUUGGGAAAUACCAGCUGCUGUAAG